GAUUGAACGCUGGCGGUAUGCUUAACACAUGCAAGUCGAACGGAAACGAUACUAGCUUGCUAGUAGGCGUCGAGUGGCGGACGGGUGAGUAACGCGUAGGAAUCUACCUGAUAGUGGGGGAUAGCCCGAAGAAAUUCGGAUUAAUACCGCAUAAUCUAUUCGUAGUAAAGUGGGGGACUUUCGAGCCUCACGCUAUCAGAUGAGCCUGCGUAAGAUUAGCUAGUUGGUAGGGUAAAAGCCUACCAAGGCGACGAUCUUUAGCUGGUCUGAGAGGAUGAUCAGCCACAUCGGGACUGAGACACGGCCCGAACUCCUACGGGAGGCAGCAGUGGGGAAUAUUGGACAAUGGGGGCAACCCUGAUCCAGCAAUACCGCGUGUGUGAAGAAGGCCUGAGGGUUGUAAAGCACUUUCAAUUGUGAAGAAAAGCUAGUGGUUAAUAGCCAUUAGCCUUGACAUUAACUUUAGAAGAAGCACCGGCUAACUCCGUGCCAGCAGCCGCGGUAAUACGGAGGGUGCAAGCGUUAAUCGGAAUUACUGGGCGUAAAGCGUGCGUAGGCGGUUUAUUAAGUCAGAUGUGAAAGCCCCGGGCUUAACCUGGGAACUGCAUUUGAAACUGGUCAACUAGAGUAUGGUAGAGGAAAGUGGAAUUUCUGGUGUAGCGGUGAAAUGCGUAGAUAUCAGAAGGGAACAUCAAUGGCGAAAGGCAACUUUCUGGACCAAUACUGACGCUGAGGUACGAAAGCGUGGGUAGCAAACAGGAUUAGAUACCCUGGUAGUCCACGCCGUAAACGAUGAUAACUAGCCGUUGGGGGGAUUUACCCCUUAGUGGCGAAGCUAACGCGUUAAGUUAUCCGCCUGGGGAGUACGGCCGCAAGGUUAAAACUCAAAGGAAUUGACGGGGACCCGCACAAGCGGUGGAGCAUGUGGUUUAAUUCGAUGCAACGCGAAGAACCUUACCUGGUCUUGACAUCCUGAGAACUUUCUAGAAAUAGAUUGGUGCCUUCGGGAACUCAGUGACAGGUGCUGCAUGGCUGUCGUCCGCCCCGUGUCGUGAGAUGUUGGGUUAAGUCCCGUAACGAGCGCAACCCCUAUCCUUAUUUGCCAGCACAUCAUGGUGGGAACUAUAAGGAGACUGCCGGUGAUAAACCGGAGGAAGGCGGGGACGACGUCAAGUCAUCAUGGCCCUUACGACCAGGGCUACACACGUGCUACAAUGGGAAGGACAAAGAGCCGCGAAGCCGCGAGGUGUAGCUAAUCUCAGAAACCUUUUCGUAGUCCGGAUUGGAGUCUGCAACUCGACUCCAUGAAGUCGGAAUCGCUAGUAAUCGUAGAUCAGAAUGCUACGGUGAAUACGUUCCCGGGUCUUGUAC
rnacentral:rRNA from 1 species